CCGGAGAGAGAGAGUUAGAAAAGGAGAGAGAGUUAGUGUCGGUGCAUUUGACAGACGGACAGGCAGGUGGGAUGGUGUUGGACCGCUGACUACACUCUCACCCCCACCCUCGCUUUGUAACGGCGGUGGGAGUGGGACCGGUCACAGAGCCCGGAGCCCGGAGCAGAAGCCGUACAGCGACGCAACGACGCCCGGGAAAGGAGAGGGGACCAUGGGCUCCGCUUCGUCCUCCUACCGCGUCAUUUACCUGGACGUGGACGGUAGGAUUCAGAAGGUGGUGUUCAGUAGAUUCUGCACCCCAUGUGACAUUAAGGAGCUUUUCUGUACAGCCUUGGGUGUGCCAAGAAACACUAAUCUGUCCCUGCUGGAUUCAUCCGGAGCCAUGGUGUCCAUUGACCCCACCAUGCCGCACAACACAGAGAGGUCACUGUACCGAGUGGUGCCUAUGACUGGAGGACAGCUUGCUGAUAAAGAGGAACUCUUUCAGAAUGUACUGACGCAAGUAGCAGAGCAGUUUUCAAGGGCGUUCAAGAUCAACGAGCUGAAGACCGAGGUCACCAACCGUCUUGCCAUGUUGGAGAAGAGAGUAGAGUUGGAGGGGAUGAAGGUGGUGGAGAUUGAGAAAUGUCGCAACGAUAUCAAGAAGCUCCGCCAAGAGAUGGUGUCAAGAAACAACAGUAACUUCCUGGAAGACAAUAAGAAGCUGACUCCUCGCAGAGACGUGCCCUCGUACCCAAAGUACCAUCUGUCUAAGGAGACAGUAGAAGCUCUUAGAUUGCCUACAUUCGAUGCUUGGCAGUGGGAACCUAAUGAGAUGCUCAGCUGUCUGGAACAUAUGUACCACGACUUGGGCUUGGUCAAAGACUUCAGCAUCAACCCUAUCACACUCAAGAGAUGGCUGCUAUGUAUUCAUGACAACUACAAGAAUAACCCCUUCCACAACUUCCGCCACUGUUUCUGUGUCACCCAGAUGAUGUACAGCAUGAUCUGCCUCUGCAACCUACAGGAGAAGUUCACUCAGGUCGACGUUUUGAUUCUCAUGACAGCUGCCGUGUGUCACGAUCUUGAUCACCCCGGAUUCAACAACACGUACCAGAUCAAUGCCAGAACAGAGCUGUCAGUUCGCUACAACGACAUCUCCCCUCUGGAGAACCACCACUGUGCUGUGGCCUUCCAGAUCUUAUCCCAGCCCGACUGCAACAUCUUCUCCAACUUUGACCCUGACACCUUCAAACAGAUACGACAGGGAACCAUCACACUCAUCCUGGCUACAGACAUGGCACGACACGGUGAGAUCCUGGACUCCUUCAAGCAGAAAGUCGACAGCUUUGACUACGCCGAUGAGGAGCAUGCCACCUGUCUGAAGAUGGUGCUCAUCAAGUGCUGCGACAUCUCCAACGAGGUGCGGCCCAUGGAGGUGGCUGAGCCCUGGGUGGACUGCCUGCUUGAGGAGUACUUCAUGCAGAGCGACCGGGAGAAGGCUGAAGGGCUUCCUGUGGCUCCGUUCAUGGACAGAGAAAAGGUCACCAAGCCGACGGCUCAGAUUGGCUUCAUCAAGUUUGUCCUUAUCCCCAUGUUUGAGACGGUGAUGAAGCUGUUCCCACAGAUUGAGGAGGCGAUGGUGCAGCCACUCAGAGAGUCAAGAGACCGAUACGAAGAACUCAAACAGAUUGAUGACGCCAUGAAUGAGUAAUGUUCCCUCCAGGUGCAGAAAAACAAAAGUGAGAGCUUGACCAUGGGAGGGAAGAAGAAGUAAGACGUUUUAUGAAGCACCAGUGAGCGUAGAGCACGAGAGUGGAGCAGUGUGAUGUAAAGUUAACCUGAGUUGUCACGACACGUCCUCACAGAGGAGCAGCAGGAUGUGUGAUCUGGGAAAAAUAAGGUGGAUUUCCAGUCUGUCACAGAAAUGUGAUGGAGUCGAUAUGAGAAGCAACUCUGAGACAGUGUUACAAACUACUGAUGGAAUCAAGGACCAAAGGGAUAAUCGCCUUUCAGGACAUGUCAACAUUUGUACAGCACAAAUUAGAUACAUAUCUGCAUUGUUUUUUAUUUGAAAUGUGUUGUUUUUUACAGAUUGUACAGAUUUUUAGUAACCUGUGUUCUUUCCUACAAAAAAUAAAAGGAUU